rnacentral:lncRNA from 10 species
UGAGCUGCUUCUUCACAUAACAUGAGUCUUUAGGAAUCAAACCUUAAAGAAUUUUGAAAGUCGACUGUGAUCCCAGCUACUCGGGAGUCUGAGGAAGGAGAAUCCCUUGAUCCCAGGAGUCAGAGGUUGCAGUGAGCUGAUAUCAUGGCAUUGCACUCCAGCCUCAGCCACAAGAGUGAAAAUUCCUCUCAAAAAAACAAACAAACAAACAAAAAUUGGAAGUGAUGUAUCUUCUCACUCUUUUCACGUAUACAUCUAAGUUUCUCUUUAUAUUAUAAAUUACAACACUUACAAAUAAAGUAAUUUAUUUCACAAAUUUAAAAUACAUGCUGUCAAGUUCGGCCGUUUCCGGAAGUACGUAGUCACCCUCAUCUGAGAUGUGCAGACUGCAAGGAAAUGUGUUUGGGGGUUUAGAAAGCCACUCGUGGACACCUGAAGGUGGGGAUGCCUGUUUGAUGACCCAGGAGACAGCUGAGGAGACAACUGGACACAGGAUUGUAGAGCUCAGGGGCGAGGCCUGCAGGGGACAUGGAGUCAUGUAGGUGGGUUAAAGCUGUGAGAUGAUAAGGUUCAAGGUGACUUGAGUCUAAUUACCCCGUUUUUGUUCAUCUUGUGCUUCUUUUUUUUUUUUUUUAAUAUUUGGAGAACUGGAAUUCAUU